ensembl:lncRNA
GGCAGGUCUCUCUCUCUGAUUUUCAACCUGUAAGGUCUCUGGUCCAGACAUUACAGGGGCAGGUCUCUCUCUCUGAUUUUCAACCUGUAAGGUCUCUGGUCCAGACAUUACAGGGGCAGGUCUCUCUCUCUGAUUUUCAACCUGUAAGGUCUCUGGUCCAGACAUUACAGGGGCAGGUCUCUCUCUCUGAUCUUCAACCUGUAAGGUCUCUGGUCCAGACAUUACAGGGGCAGGUCUCUCUCUCUGAUUUUCAACCUGUAAGGUCUCUGGUCCAGACAUUACAGGGGCAGGUCUCUCUCUCUGAUUUUCAACCUGUAAGGUCUCUGGUCCAGGCAUUACAGGGGCAGGUCUCUCUCUCUGAUUUUCAACCUGUAAGGUCUGUGGUCCAGGCAUUACAAUAGAAAGUAUAGUAACAUAUUUAAAUCGAGUUCCCGAGAUUGCAAUUCCUAUGACUUCCACUAGAUGUCAACAGUCUUUCUUCAAGGUUUCAGACUUAUUUCUUUCAAAAUGAGGAAGAAUUGAGUUUUGAUACAGGAACCCAGAGUGGGAAAUCAAUCUGUGCGAGCAUGAUGAAGAGGACACGCUAAAAUCACGUUCCUAUUGAACAUACUUCUUUCCGUGUGAAAUAUUACAGUUUAAUUACAUUUUAGGGAACCUGAGGAUUAAAUAGAAAUGUAGUUUGACUGUUUUAACAAAGUUUAGCAGUAGCUAUUUGGAACCCUUUCUCUGCAUGUUGAACGAGUGGAUUACUGAAAUCAAUGGCGCCAACUAAAAUGACUUUUUGGGAUAUAAAGAAGGAUUUUAUCUAACAAAACGACACUACAUGUUGUACCUGGGACUCUUAGGAUUGCAAAUCAGAGGAAGAUUUUAAAAAAGGAAGGGAAUAAUCCAUCGCUAUUUGUGACUUUAUUAAACCUGUGCUGGUUGAAAAAUAUGUUGAUGUGCGGCGCCG